rnacentral:rRNA from 1 species
UGGGGAAUUUUGGACAAUGGGCGCAAGCCUGAUCCAGCCAUGCCGCGUGCGGGAAGAAGGCCUUCGGGUUGUAAACCGCUUUUGUCAGGGAAGAAAUCCUUUGGGCUAAUACCCCGGGGGGAUGACGGUACCUGAAGAAUAAGCACCGGCUAACUACGUGCCAGCAGCCGCGGUAAUACGUAGGGUGCAAGCGUUAAUCGGAAUUACUGGGCGUAAAGCGUGCGCAGGCGGUUAUGCAAGACAGAUGUGAAAUCCCCGGGCUCAACCUGGGAACUGCAUUUGUGACUGCAUAGCUGGAGUGCGGCAGAGGGGGAUGGAAUUCCGCGUGUAGCAGUGAAAUGCGUAGAUAUGCGGAGGAACACCGAUGGCGAAGGCAAUCCCCUGGGCCUGCACUGACGCUCAUGCACGAAAGCGUGGGGAGCAAACAGGAUUAGAUACCCUGGUAGUCCACGCCCUAAACGAUGUCAACUGGUUGUUGGGAAGGUUCCUUCUCAGCAACGUAGCUAACGCGUGAAGUUGACCGCCUGGGGAGUACGGCCGCAAGGUUG